UACGUAGGGGCCUAGCGUUGUCCGGAUUUAUUGGGCGUAAAGAGCUCGUAGGUGGUUCGGUAAGUCGGAUGUGAAAUCUCCAGGCUCAACCUGGAGGGGUCAUUCGAUACUGCCGUGACUAGAGUUCGGUAGAGGAGUGUGGAAUUCCUGGUGGAGCGGUGAAAUGCGCAGAGAUCAGGAGGAACACCCGUAGCGAAGGCGGCACUCUGGGCCGAUACUGACACUGAGGAGCGAAGGCGUGGGGAGCGAACAGG
rnacentral:rRNA from 1 species